GCGGGUGUAGCUCAGUUGGUUAGAGCGCUUGAUUGUGGAUCAAGAGGUCGGCGGUUCAAUUCCGCUCACUCGCCCCA
rnacentral:tRNA from 1 species